rnacentral:misc_RNA from 1 species
UGGCUCUGGCAUCGAUGAAGAACGCAGCGAAAUGCGAUAAGUAAUGUGAAUUGCAGAAUUCAGUGAAUCAUCGAAUCUUUGAACGCACAUUGCGCCCGCCAGUAUUCUGGCGGGCAUGCCUGUCCGAGCGUCAUUUCAACCCUCAGGGCCCUUAGGGGACCUGGCGUUGGGGAUCGGCCGCCCCCGCGGCGGCCGUCCCUCAAAUCUAGUGGCGGUCUCGUCGCGACCUCCUCUGUGCAGUAGACAUACCUCACAGCUGGAUAGCGAUGCGGCCAUGCCGUAAAACACCCAACUUCUCAAGGUUGACCUCGGAUCAGGUAGGAAUACCCGCUGA